rnacentral:rRNA from 1 species
AAUGAACGUUGGCGGCGUGGAUUAGGCAUGCAAGUCGAGCGAGAACCCGCAAGGGGGACAGCGGCAAACGGGGUAGUAAUGUGUCGGAACGUGCCCUCUGGACGGGGAUAGCGGCGGGAAACUGCCGGUAAUACCCGAUGAACUCGAGAGAGCCAAGGUGUGAUUCCGCCGGAGGAGCGGCCGACAUGGUAUUAGCUAGUUGGCGGGGUAACGGCCCACCAAGGCUGUGAUGCCUAGGGGAUGUGAGAGCAUGAUCCCCACCAUUGGGACUGAGACACUGCCCAGACACCUACGGGUGGCUGCAGUCGAGAAUCUUCGUCAAUGGGCGAAAGCCUGAACGAGCGACGCCGCGUGCGGGAUGAAGGCCCUUGGGUUGUAAACCGCUGUUGAGGGGGAUGAAGGCAUUCAGGUACUCCUGAAUGUUUGACAGAGCCCUGGAGGAAGCACGGGCUAAGUUCGUGCCAGCCGCCGCGGUAACAC